GACGAACGCUGGCGGCGUGCCUAAUACAUGCAAGUAGAACGCUGAAGGAGGAGCUUGCUUCUCUGGAUGAGUUGCGAACGGGUGAGUAACGCGUAGGUAACCUGCCUGGUAGCGGGGGAUAACUAUUGGAAACGAUAGCUAAUACCGCAUAAGAGUAGAUGUUGCAUGACAUUUGCUUAAAAGGUGCAAUUGCAUCACUACCAGAUGGACCUGCGUUGUAUUAGCUAGUUGGUGGGGUAACGGCUCACCAAGGCAACGAUACAUAGCCGACCUGAGAGGGUGAUCGGCCACACUGGGACUGAGACACGGCCCAGACUCCUACGGGAGGCAGCAGUAGGGAAUCUUCGGCAAUGGACGGAAGUCUGACCGAGCAACGCCGCGUGAGUGAAGAAGGUUUUCGGAUCGUAAAGCUCUGUUGUAAGAGAAGAACGAGUGUGAGAGUGGAAAGUUCACACUGUGACGGUAUCUGACCAGAAAGGGACGGCUAACUACGUG
rnacentral:rRNA from 1 species